rnacentral:rRNA from 1 species
GAUGAACGCUGGCGGCGUGCCUAAUACAUGCAGGUCGAGCGAACGGACGAGAAGCUUGCUUCUCUGAUGUUAGCGGCGGACGGGUGAGUAACACGUGGAUAACCUACCUAUAAGACUGGGAUAACUUCGGGAAACCGGAGCUAAUACCGGAUAAUAUUUUGAACCGCAUGGUUCAAAAGUGAAAGACGGUCUUGCUGUCACUUAUAGAUGGAUCCGCGCUGCAUUAGCUAGUUGGUAAGGUAACGGCUUACCAAGGCAACGAUGCAUAGCCGACCUGAGAGGGUGAUCGGCCACACUGGAACUGAGACACGGUCCAGACUCCUACGGGAGGCAGCAGUAGGGAAUAUUCCGCAAUGGGCGAAAGCCUGACGGAGCAACGCCGCGUGAGUGAUGAAGGUCUUCGGAUCGUAAAACUCUGUUAUUAGGGAAGAACAUAUGUGUAAGUAACUGUGCACAUCUUGACGGUACCUAAUCAGAAAGCCACGGCUAACUACGUG